GUAGGGUGCGAGCGUUAAUCGGAAUUACUGGACGUAAAGUGUGCGCAGGCGGCUUCGCAAGUCGAGUGUGAAAUCCCCGAGCUUAACUUGGGAAUUGCGCUCGAAACUACGGAGCUGGAGUGUGGCAGAGGAAGGUGGAAUUCCACGUGUAGCGGUGAAAUGCGUAGAGAUGUGGAGGAACACCGAUGGCGAAGGCAGCCUUCUGGGCCAACACUAACGCUCAUGCACGAAAGCGUGGGGAGCAAACAGGAUUAGAUACCCUGGUAGUCCACGCCCUAAACGAUGAUGACUAGUUGUUGGAGGAGUUAAAUCCUUUAGUAACGCAGCUAACGCGUGAAGUCAUCCGCCUGGGGAGUACGGUCGCAAGAUUA
rnacentral:rRNA from 1 species